GUCCACUUUUAGCAGGUUUUCUAACUUAAAUGAUUCCUUAUUUUUCUCAAUUGCUGCUUUCAAGGUCUUCCUCUCUUCUUUGUAUCUCAUACAUUCCAUCAGCACAUGCUGUACUGAUUCCGUUACACCACACUGUUGACAUUUUCCAUCUGUGUGUUUACCUAUUUUAUUCAAUGUUCCAUUUAACCCUGUAUGACCGAUCCUUAACCGUGUUAAUGUUGUUUCUUCCUUCCGGUUCCUUCCAAUCCUUCUUCCCUCUCCCACCUGUCUCUGUAUUGAAAACAAAUGCCUGCCCGUUUUUACCGACUCCCAAUAUUCUUGCCACUGUUCCCGACUGUAUUUUUUUAUGAGUGCCUUUCCUUCUGCUUUACUUAACCUGACUUGUAGGUCUAUGUCCUGUUGUCUUAACGACUGCUUUGCUAGCCUAUCCGCCUCUUCAUUUCCCUCUAUUCCCAUGUGGGCAGGAACCCACACAAAAUUCACACCCUGCCCUCUUUCCCAGAUUUCAUACAGGUUACUGUGUGCCUCAUAUAUAAGAUCUAGUCUACAAGAUUUCAUGGUUUGUAGGCUUGAAAGAGCCGCCCAGCUGUCUGAUGCUAUGACUAAUUUGUCUUUCCCUUGAGCUUUUAUCCACUGUAAUGCCAUUAUUAUUGCUGCUAUCUCUACUGCAUACACUGAUACAUAUCUGAACACCUCUGCUUUAUUCUAAUAUUUUCCGUAGGGAUAUACACUGCGGCCCCAGUUCGGCCAGUAUCUGGGUCUUUUGAUCCAUCUGUGAAUACUAUUUGAGUAUUGCC